GACGAACGCUGGCGGCGUGCCUAAUACAUGCAAGUCGAACGAACAGGCGAGGAGCUUGCUCGUCUCACGUGAGCGGCGCGCGGGUGAGUAACGCGUGUAUAACCUCCCUAUAAGAGGGGGAUAACUACGGGAAACGGGAGCUAAUACCGUAUAAUAUCUUGAACCACAUGGUGGAUUGGUGAAAGUCGGCUUUGCUGUAACUUAUAGCUGGAUCCGCGCCGCAUUGGCUAGUUGGGAAGGUAACGGCUUACUAGGGCAACGAUGCGUAGCCGACGUAAGGGAGGGAUCGCCCACACGGGAACGGAGACAGGCACCAGAGUCCUACGGGAGGCACCAGAAGGGAACGUUCGGCAAUGGGGGAAAGCCUGACGGAGCAAGGCGGCGUGAGUGAUGAAGGUCUUGGGUUCGUAAAACCGGGUUUUUGGGGAAAAACAGAUGUGGAAGGAAAUGUGCACGUCGUGACGGUAACUUAUCAGAAAGCAACGGCUAACUACGUG
rnacentral:rRNA from 1 species